rnacentral:rRNA from 1 species
UACGGGGGGGGCAAGCGUUGUUCGGAAUUACUGGGCGUAAAGGGCGCGUAGGCGGUGUGGCAAGUCUCUCGUGAAAUCCCAUGGCUCAACUGUGGAACUGCGGGGGAUACUGCCGGACUUGAGUCCGGGAGAGGGGAGUGGAAUUCCCAGUGUAGCGGUGAAAUGCGUAGAUAUUGGGAGGAACACCAGUGGCGAAGGCGGCUCCCUGGACCGGUACUGACGCUGAGGCGCGAAAGCUAGGGGAGCAAACGGGAUUAGAUACCCCCGUA